GAUGGACGCUGGCGGCGUGCCUAAUACAUGCAAGUCGAGCGAAUGGAUUAAGAGCUUGCUCUUAUGAAGUUAGCGGCGGACGGGUGAGUAACACGUGGGUAACCUGCCCAUAAGACUGGGAUAACUCCGGGAAACCGGGGCUAAUACCGGAUAACAUUUUGAACCGCAUGGUUCGAAAUUGAAAGGCGGCUUCGGCUGUCACUUAUGGAUGGACCCGCGUCGCAUUAGCUAGUUGGUGAGGUAACGGCUCACCAAGGCAACGAUGCGUAGCCGACCUGGGAGGGUGAUCGGCCACACUGGGACUGAGACACGGCCCAGACUCCUACGGGAGGCAGCAGUAGGGAAUCGUCCGCAAUGGACGAAAGUCUGACGGAGCAACGCCGCGUGAGUGAUGAAGGCUUUCGGGUCGUAAAACUCUGUUGUUAGGGAAGAACAAGUGCUAGUUGAAUAAGCUGGCACCUUGACGGUACCUAACCAGAAAGCCACGGCUAACUACGUGCCAGCCGCCGCCGUAA
rnacentral:rRNA from 1 species